AGAGUUUGAUCAUGGCUCAGAUUGAACGCUGGCGGCAGGCCUAACACAUGCAAGUCGAGCGGUAGCACAGAGAGCUUGCUCUCGGGUGACGAGCGGCGGACGGGUGAGUAAUGUCUGGGAAACUGCCUGAUGGAGGGGGAUAACUACUGGAAACGGUAGCUAAUACCGCAUAANGUCGCAAGACCAAAGUGGGGGACCUUCGGGCCUCAUGCCAUCAGAUGUGCCCAGAUGGGAUUAGCUAGUAGGUGGGGUAACGGCUCACCUAGGCGACGAUCCCUAGCUGGUCUGAGAGGAUGACCAGCCACACUGGAACUGAGACACGGUCCAGACUCCUACGGGAGGCAGCAGUGGGGAAUAUUGCACAAUGGGCGCAAGCCUGAUGCAGCCAUGCCGCGUGUGUGAAGAAGGCCUUCGGGUUGUAAAGCACUUUCAGCGGGGAGGAAGGCGNUNAGGUUAAUAACCUNNNCGAUUGACGUUACCCGCAGAAGAAGCACCGGCUAACUCCGUGCCAGCAGCCGCGGUAAUACGGAGGGUGCAAGCGUUAAUCGGAAUUACUGGGCGUAAAGCGCACGCAGGCGGUCUGUCAAGUCGGAUGUGAAAUCCCCGGGCUCAACCUGGGAACUGCAUUCGAAACUGGCAGGCUAGAGUCUUGUAGAGGGGGGUAGAAUUCCAGGUGUAGCGGUGAAAUGCGUAGAGAUCUGGAGGAAUACCGGUGGCGAAGGCGGCCCCCUGGACAAAGACUGACGCUCAGGUGCGAAAGCGUGGGGAGCAAACAGGAUUAGAUACCCUGGUAGUCCACGCCGUAAACGAUGUCGAUUUGGAGGUUGUGCCCUUGAGGCGUGGCUUCCGGAGCUAACGCGUUAAAUCGACCGCCUGGGGAGUACGGCCGCAAGGUUAAAACUCAAAUGAAUUGACGGGGGCCCGCACAAGCGGUGGAGCAUGUGGUUUAAUUCGAUGCAACGCGAAGAACCUUACCUGGUCUUGACAUCCACAGAACUUUCCAGAGAUGGAUUGGUGCCUUCGGGAACUGUGAGACAGGUGCUGCAUGGCUGUCGUCAGCUCGUGUUGUGAAAUGUUGGGUUAAGUCCCGCAACGAGCGCAACCCUUAUCCUUUGUUGCCAGCGGUUNGGCCGGGAACUCAAAGGAGACUGCCAGUGAUAAACUGGAGGAAGGUGGGGAUGACGUCAAGUCAUCAUGGCCCUUACGACCAGGGCUACACACGUGCUACAAUGGCAUAUACAAAGAGAAGCGACCUCGCGAGAGCAAGCGGACCUCAUAAAGUAUGUCGUAGUCCGGAUUGGAGUCUGCAACUCGACUCCAUGAAGUCGGAAUCGCUAGUAAUCGUAGAUCAGAAUGCUACGGUGAAUACGUUCCCGGGCCUUGUACACACCGCCCGUCACACCAUGGGAGUGGGUUGCAAAAGAAGUAGGUAGCUUAACCUUCGGGAGGGCGCUUACCACUUUGUGAUUCAUGACUGGGGUGAAGUCGUAACAAGGUAACCGUAGGGGAACCUGCGGUUG
rnacentral:rRNA from 1 species